rnacentral:rRNA from 1 species
UACGUAGGGGGCAAGCGUUGUCCGGAAUUACUGGGCGUAAAGGGCUCGUAGGCGGCCAACUAAGUCCGACGUGAAAUCCCAAGGCUUAACCUUGGAACUGCGUCGGAUACUGGAUGGCUUGAAUUCGGGAGAGGGAUGCAGAAUUCCAGGUGUAGCGGUGAAAUGCGUAGAUAUCUGGAGGAACACCGGUGGCGAAGGCGGCAUCCUGGACCGAUACUGACGCUGAGGAGCGAAAGCCAGGGGAGCAAACGGG